rnacentral:rRNA from 1 species
GACGAACGCUGGCGGCGUGCUUAACACAUGCAAGUCGAACGGGGAACCUCUUCGUAGGGGAUCAGUGGCGAACGGGUGAGUAACACUUGGGCAACCUGCCCCCGGCUCUGGGAUAACUCCAAGAAAGUGGGGCUAAUACCGGAUGUUCACCGCUUCCCGCAUGGGUGGUGGUGGAAAGGGGUUCCGGCUGGGGAUGGGCCCGCGGCCUAUCAGCUUGUUGGUGGGGUAGUGGCCUACCAAGGCGACGACGGGUAGCCGGCCUGAGAGGGUGACCGGCCACACUGGGACUGAGACACGGCCCAGACUCCUACGGGAGGCAGCAGUGGGGAAUAUUGCGCAAUGGGCGGAAGCCUGACGCAGCGACGCCGCGUGGGGGAUGACGGCCUUCGGGUUGUAAACCUCUUUCAGCAGGGACGAAGCGCAAGUGACGGUACCUGCAGAAGAAGCACCGGCCAACUACGUG